rnacentral:rRNA from 1 species
GAUGAACGCUGUCGGCGUGCCUAAUUCAUUCCAGUUGAGCGAACAGACGAGGAGCUUUCUCCUCUUACGUUAUCUGCGGAUGUGUGAGUAACACUUGGAUCACCUACCUAUAAGACUGGGAUCACUUCGUGAACCCGGAGCUCAUACCGGAUAAUAUAUUGAACCGCAUGGUUCAAUAGUCAAAGACUUUUUUGCUGUCACUUAUAGAUUGAUCCGCGCCGCAUUAGCUAGUUGGUAAGGUAACGGCUUACCAAGGCAACGAUGCGUAGCCGACCUGAGAGGGUGAACGGCCACAAUGGAACUGAGAAACGGUCCAGAAUCAGACGGAAGGCAGCAGUAGGGAAUCUUCGGAAAUGAGCGAAAGCCUGACAGAGAAACGCAGCGUGAGUAAUGAAGGUCUACGAAUCGUAAAACACUGUUAUUAGGGAAGAACAAAGGUGAAAGUAACUAUGCACGUCAUGACGGGACAUAAUGAGAAAGCCACGGCUAAAUACAUG